rnacentral:lncRNA from 1 species
UUCAAAGCACUUUUUCCUUGAGUUAGGAAGGAAUUAACAUAUAUGCCAAUGUCUCAUAUUGACAGAGUGCUGAACGGGCAAUUUUAAAAACAACAUACUGAUCUGGACUUUGUGAUUCAAGUCAUGUGGAGAGCUCCUAAUGUGGAAAUCCCUCCAUGGAUCCAGGAGUCUUCAGAGAGGCCUCAUACCAGCUUCCAGCUCAGGAGAGAGGCCCACACCACGGAGCUCCUGGAUUUGGGUUACAUCAGGUUCCCCUUCCUGUCUGCCCUGAGGAUGCCUGAGAUGUUCAUUUUGGUUUUGUACAAAUAAUAAUUACAGUCAGUUAAGUCAACUACAUUUCCCCCCAAUUACCAUGCAGCAUAGUAACAUUAUACAUGUCAUUAAAUCUGUGCCAUGAGUUCUACUAAACAUUUUAUUGUAUUAUAACACUAAACUCCAUUCCCAUGUGCUCAAGUCUUUAUUGUUUGUUGCUAAUGUUAACAUGAUGUUCUAACUGCAACUUUAAAACAUUAGAGGCAACUUGUGGCAAAAUUCAUGAAACAGCCAAAUUUUCAAAGGUUUCUACUCACUUGCUACUCUACCCUGAUAUUUUUUGCUACGGAGUGAGAAGGCAGAAGUGUUGGUGUGUGGGUAACAAAGGAAAGGGUGACAGAGAGGAAGACCUAGGUCUGUCUGGAGGGGGUAGUCUCCCCUUUGACUCUUCAUGAAAUGAGUUCUCAUCCCUGUGAUUAAACAAUAGUCUAAUGUUUGAAGCUGUCCACUUGCUCCCCUAUGAAGACAGUGCAGCUCACUGCUGAAUAGCACUUCCUAGGUCAUACUUCACUGUCUGGAAAAGGAUCUCCUUUAACCAGAAUUUUGCAUCAGGUUGGGUACCACCUGAAUCUUUUUCCUGUUCCUGUCUACUCUCUGCUAUGCUGUGUCCUCAAGGUGUCUCUUAGACAUCCUGACCUUUUUUGUUGUUCCUCUCUCAUAAAAUUUACCCAUCUUGUGUCCUCUUAGAGCCUUAUUGUUCAGCUAGGUAAUGAUAAGGUUAAUCAGGUAAACUAGUCCGUGGUCAUGCACUACCUAGCUAAUGGGUUAAUCCAUCCCUCAUCAUCAGUUAUGGAGUAUCUGUGUCUAUUCUAGGUGCGGAGGCAUUACAAUAAGAUAUAAACUAUGGCCACUCCCCUUAAGAUUAGAAUCACACUCAUGAAAAAAAGAACACUUCAAGACACAAAGUGCUAAAUCAUGUUGUACAGACAGUCAGCACUGGAGAAAAUCAUUGCAGGCUAGACGCAGUGCUUUAAAAAAAAUAUUUUUCUUAGGCAAU